UUUUUAUCACACAGCCAGAAAUGGAAGAACAAGGCAAGUCUGUGUUUAGGGAAGAUGGAUGGUUGCCCACCAUCUUCAUCUUAAAGGCACACCACCUCUUUUCUGAUGGCUUCGGGAUUCGGGGGCUCAUUCUACGCCCCGCGCCUGCCAGCCUCACUGUCAGCAGUGGAGCAGGAAGGGCGGAACACUCAGGGCCUUCCUGCGCAGAAUGGGAAUCCAAAUGUAGUCGGCUCUUGAGGUGAUUCUCAGCAGCAGUGGGUUCCCCUUUGCCAGGAGCCGUUGCCUGUGGGGGCAGGCGGGCCAGAAGUGAGUGUGGAUGCCCUGGUCACUGCAUGUGGGCGCCACGAACCACAGCAACAGCCUGGGGGCCACCUAGUCGGCAUAAGACUUUGGACAGAGCCCCUGCCUGUCGCUAGGCGGGGAAUAGUGCGCAGAGGGUCAUUAACCCGCUCUGAGACGAUCAGCAAAGCAGGACUGUUGAGCACGGCAAACAACAGGGAGAGAAAUUAAAUUCAGCUUCACUUGCAGUUUCCCCUGGUCACUGGGUUCUUCUCCGUUUCUUGUUGCCCUUUAGGAUGAGGGCUUUUCAGUGCAGCUGCCAAGUGGAUUCCUCAUAAGCACAAUAGUCUGCGCUCAUAUCGUCGAGUGGUAAAUAGUCUGGAUUCAUCUUGACAUGCUCAUGGUCCAGAGCUGCUGAGUGCUACAGCCAGCCAGAGUGGGUUGAGGAGAGGGCCCCUCACAGACUUUUGGAACCUCCGUUUAUCCACCUGUGUACUUGCUCUGAAGAGAUAAUGAGACCUCAAGAGAUCUGAAAAAGCUUUCACCUAGCAGACUAUCGCGUUCGCUCCUUGUGGCGGUGACGACAGCGAUACGUACACAGACCUGGUUCACUUCAGUUCUUUAUUGUUGCUCGGAAGGUCAGGAGAAAGUGAGUGAGAAGAAGCAACAGCCGGAGAGAGCGAGUGAGAGGAAGAAUGAGAGGAGAGAGACUCUCCUUCUCUUUCCUGCUUAUGCCUAGGAAGCUGGCCUACGGUGAUCAAGAUCAUGCGUGACCUUUAAGCUGAUUGGUAGCAUGCCUUCUGCAUGAGUUGAGCACGAGCGCGGAAGCAUGGGGCAAGCCUAUAGGAGCAACUUCCUUAUGCUAAUGCCACCAAACCAGGAAGGGUGGCGCCCAGGAAGCGGACGCCAUCUUAGGGCAUUGGUCAGCUACAGUGGAAGGGCGGUGUUCAGCCAUAGUGGGACUCAGCCUUGGCUGUAGGCCGGCCCCUACAGCAGACCAAAGUGGAGAGAUCAAAACUUGAGCAGGUAACAAAAACUGGGUGGUAUUUCCAGCGCAGGGCACUGGGCAGCCAAGACUAAUCCUGUAUGUUCUCUGAGCUCAGUGAAUUAUGGUCUUCUCAGUGUUGCCCAUUUCUGGUCACAUCCUAGAAUUAUUUGGGAGAAUACAAAACACUCAUGUCCAGACCCACCUCAAGAGGUUCUUGUUUAAUUAACAUUUUGUAUUUUUUUUAAGGUCCCUAGGUGAUUCUGAUGUGCAGAGUAGAGAACCACUGGUCUAGAUGGAGAUGCAGAUAAGCUAAACAAAGACCAAAAACUACAACACAUUAUUAUGUGCUGACUGGGGCAAAUACAAUUGCUAUGGGAGCUCACAGCUGGAGCCACUUAUCUAGCCUAGAAAGAGUUGGGGAGGUUUUUGUGAAGUAAGAGAAAUCACAGCUGAGAUUUUAAGAUUAGGAAUAACCAAGUUAAUCAGGACUGAGAGGUCUGGGGGUGAGUAGAGGUGCGAGUAAGAGGAUUGCAGGGAAAAGCAGGAAACAUUCUCUCUGAGUCCAGUAGUGAGAAAGAGCAGGGUGCUCAUGGGGGACUGCAAGUAGUUCAGCAGAGCUGGAAAAUGCCCAGUGGGAAGCCGUUGACAAAGCCAGAGAUGUGACCACUGGCCCGUUCAUCAGGGGUAUUGAGGGCAGUAAUAUUAGGAACUUUGGACUUUGUCCUGAGGGUGAAAGGGAGUUAAUGAAGUGGAGAGACUUUGAUCAGUUUUGCGGAAUGAGAACCAGAUAGGAAGGGAGCCAGACAGAGUAGGGAGGAAGUUAGACCAUGCCUCAGUGGAGGCUUCCUGAGCUACAUCAGUGGUUUCGGGGAUAGCAAGAGGUAGGUGGAUUUGAGACAUAUCAGAACACAGAAUCAAUUUGAUUUGGAGAGUAAAGAGAGACAAAGUCAAGAAUAGUUUCCAGAAUUUUGUCACAGGAAAUGAUGUGGAUGGUGGUGGUGUCCUCUGUGCUGGCAAUGCAAAUGAGUAGGGUGGCCUGCUGACUGCACACACCGAGUCCUAGAAGCUAGCCAGGACUGGGUGGGCCUCUGCAGGGGCUACUCAAGACCGCACAGGUGGCUCAGAGCUCCCGGGAGCACGAG